rnacentral:lncRNA from 1 species
UUUUUUUUUUUUUUGUUUUUUUUUUUUUUUUUUUUUGGUUUUUUUUUUUUUUUUGCUUUUUUUUUUUUUUGUUUUGUUUUUGUUUUGUUUUGUUUUUAUCAAAGUCUCUACUUCCAGGGGCUUUUGGUAUAGUAAGUGCUGUAGUAAAAGACACACGCUAAGCUGACCAUCCACCUGUCCCUCUCCUACAGCAGUGGCUGGGUUCCUGUGCAGAGCCUGACACUGUAGUGUGUAUCCCACCCGCUGCAGCUUUAGCUUCUAGAACCUCAGCUGGGUUCCUCCCUCCCACUCUGUAUAUCCAUCCAUCAGCACCUUCUUUACCUUCUUUUCCCUUCUCACCAGAAUACUUUUUACAGCCUUAAGUCCCGGCCACAUUCCGUCGUCGUAUGACUUUACUUCAAAUGUCAAAAGAAGAUUGAUGCCCCCCACAUCUCUGGUUCCACACCAUUUCCUUUCCUUCGCAAUUCUUUGAGAGGAUUCUGUGUUCAAUAUCUCUGUGGUCUGAAUGUAACUCAUUAACCCCUUGCAUCCUAACUUCUGUGCCCGUCACACUAGGAAAAGCACUCACUUUAAUUCCAUUAUUAGAAGAAAAUAAAUUUUUAUCUCUUCCAUAGUAGCAAAGUGAGCACCUUAUUGGGACUAGUAGGAUAUAGUCAAGCCUGCUCAAAUAGAGCCCCUGCAGUGACUUUCUGUUAUUUUUAUAUAGCUUUCGUUGUUGUCGUUUGGUUGGUUGGUUGGUUGUUUUGUUGUUGUUUCUGUGUGUGUCUGUGUUUUUGUUUUUGUUGUUUUUCAGAGCCUUGUGUCAGAGACUGGACUAGCCAUUCAUGAAACAUUUCUUCUUCCUGGACGUAUAGCUAGUCUGAAUCUCCCAAUUUCCUUUGCAAGUUGGAGCCAUGUAGAUGACUUUUAGCCCGUGAAAUGUGAAUGGAAGUGAUGCACUCAUUUCCAGGCUUAAUAAAGUUCCUCCCGUCUUCCCUUAUUCUUUCUCCAUCAGCUUAUAACUAGUAUCAUAACCUUGAAAACUAUAUGUCGGAGAUGCCAGUGCCAGAAGAGAGGCACAUGAGUAGCUAAAUCAUUACUUGGAAGCCUGCCACUCCAAAUAAUUAAUUAAUAAAUAAAUAAAUAAAUAAAUAAAUAAAUAAAACAAACCUCUUUGGGGCUUAUUAUAAGAGAAAAUUGAGAUUUGAGAAUUUAUGUAUUAUAGGAGCUAGAAUGACCAUAACUAAUCUGGAACUUGGUACCAGAAGGGGAAUACUGCUAGGACAGUCAUCUAAAAUAUGUUGCAUUGUCCUAGUGAUGAUGUAGCAGAGGUUGUAGAAACUGAUAUAGGAGGCUGAAAGGAGACCUAGGUUUUCUAGGGGCAACAUAAUUGAAAAGUAUAUCACCUAUCUAUUGAGACUAGUUCCAGAGGAAAUAGUUCAAAAGAAUUUAAAAGUGAUAGUGUAUUUUGAAUUUUACAUUUUGCUUUUAGCAAGGUUUUUCUAAAAAGAUGAGCUCAAGGAAAGAAUUGCAGAAAUGAAAAUGCAUAAGAAUACUUGGAAGGAUUGACUUUCUAGAAGACUUUUCCAAGACUUUCUUGGAAGGAUUCUGACUUUCUAGACCUUGAGUGGUAACAAAUGAAAUGGAAGAAACCUUGACUAUAGUUCAGGAACAAAGAUAUCAACGCUUUCUUGUUCCCAACCAAGCCAUUAUUUUAGAUGGCCUGAAGGUGGCUGGGAUGAAGUUCUAGAGAAACAGGCAUGAGGACAAGGAAGCAAAGAAGUAAAUCAGGUUUGAGAAUUAUGUAAGAAAGAACUUUGGGUUGGGACACCUGGCUGGCUCAGUCAGAAGGGUAUGUGACUCUUGAUCUCAGGGUCAUGAGUUCAAACCCCCAAGUUGGGUGUAGAAAUUACUUAAAUACUAAACUUAAAAAAGAAAGAAAGAAUGAACGAACUUUGGGUGUAGUUACUGGAAGCAAAUCAUCACAAGACUAAAUUUUUGAAGGACUUUUAUUACUAAUCAAAUUAUUAACUUGGUUCAAAUGUUAUUCAAGUAUUAAAACAGUAAGGCCCCAGGCUUUCAUAAAAAAAAAAAAAUAGGGCAUAAACACUUUAUAGCAUCCCAGUACCCACAUAGGAUGUGGCAUGGAGAAUAUCGGACAACAUAUCAGAGGUUGAUACCGGGAGCUAUACAGAAGACAAAGGACAACAGAGUUCUCCCAAAGACUAGACUGAGGUCCCAUCAAGUCUUCUUCUACUCUCAAGGAAGGUGGAUCACAAAAUGUCCAUGCAGUAUUUCAUCAUCAUUAUGUAUUCACAUUGCCUAGUAUCUCACAUUUUUCUCUUCCCAAUAAGACCAUAGUGUAAUACCUAUCUCUGAUUUACCACUGUACAUUGGGUUUGUGGAAGCAUGGGGUUAUAUUAGAGAUAACUUGUCUUUAGUUUAUGGGUUACACGUGGACCUAAGAGGACUGCACACUACUUAUAAACCUAGACUUUAAGCCUGACCUAGUAACUCAACAGAAUUUUAGGUUGUCUCUGUUGGAGUUGGAUGUGUUCUCUGUGUGGGAAGAGAAGGUAAAAUAGAUAUUUAGUGAUCAGAAUAGUGGACUCUUGCAGAUACUAGAUUCUUUUUCUGGGCACACAGAUUAUAUUUCCCUGCCUCCCUUGCAAUUAGGCUUGCCGGUGAGGGGUGCCAAUUAGGUUCUAACAGGUGGGAUAUGAGUAGAAGUGAUGUGCUCCUGUUGCAGCUGUGGUCUAGAAAAAUAGCACAUGAAAAGUCCAAGAUCUCCACGUUCCCCACCAACUCGAGGCCGAUGAACACAGUUGUAUUAGAAGCCAUGUGUUGAAGAUGGCCAAGCCACAGGGUAAAAGGACUCACUUGGAUUAGAGUUUAUAUGCAUUCUUUUGUGUUAAACCACAGAUUUGGAAAUUAUCCUAAUAUAAUCCUAGCCUUCUUUCCCAAGAUGCAACUGUCCAUUACCCAUGAUACCACAGGAAUGGGCCCAUGAAUCAGGUCAGCCAAAGUACCUUAACUACACAGUCCUAAUGAUCGGUUCAGGCAUGGGCAAGCUAACAAAACAAAGCCAAUCAGAAAAAGUCUCACCAUUUUGGCUAGCACUAUUGAGAAAGAGGUACCUCAGUCUGGAAUUAUGCAAAAACUUAACUCUCUAUGGCCUAUCAUCGCCUUGUGCAGUGGACUUGCCUGAGAAUGAAAUUGUAAGAGAAGAGCCCAUGAUUGGAGACAUGUACUUCCUGGCUCUCUCCCUAGAGUUAAUAUACCAAGGGUAAGGGAUAGAUACUACCAGGAAGACUUCAGAAUUCAAACAGAGCUUGUGGCUUAUUCCUAGCUCCCCACCAGGAAGUUUGCCCAACAAGGACAACUACAAAAAAAUAAAAAA